rnacentral:rRNA from 1 species
AUGAACGCUAGCUACAGGCUUAACACAUGCAAGUCGAGGGGCAGCAUGGUCUUAGCUUGCUAAGGCCGAUGGCGACCGGCGCACGGGUGAGUAACACGUAUCCAACCUGCCGUCUACUCUUGGACAGCCUUCUGAAAGGAAGAUUAAUACAAGAUGGCAUCAUGAGUCCACAUGUUCACAUGAUUAAAGGUAUUCCGGUAGACGAUGGGGAUGCGUUCCAUUAGAUAGUAGGCGGGGUAACGGCCCACCUAGUCUUCGAUGGAUAGGGGUUCUGAGAGGAAGGUCCCCCACAUUGGAACUGAGACACGGUCCAAACUCCUACGGGAGGCAGCAGUGAGGAAUAUUGGUCAAUGGGCGAGAGCCUGAACCAGCCAAGUAGCGUGAAGGAUGACUGCCCUAUGGGUUGUAAACUUCUUUUGUAAAGGAAUAAAGUCGGGUAUGGAUACCCGUUUGCAUGUACUUUAUGAAUAAGGAUCGGCUAACUCCGUGCCAGCAGCCGCGGUAAUACGGAGGAUCCGAGCGUUAUCCGGAUUUAUUGGGUUUAAAGGGAGCGUAGAUGGAUGUUUAAGUCAGUUGUGAAAGUUUGCGGCUCAACCGUAAAAUUGCAGUUGAUACUGGAUAUCUUGAGUGCAGUUGAGGCAGGCGGAAUUCGUGGUGUAGCGGUGAAAUGCUUAGAUAUCACGAAGAACUCCGAUUGCGAAGGCAGCCUGCUAAGCUGCAACUGACAUUGAGGCUCGAAAGUGUGGGUAUCAAACAGGAUUAGAUACCCUGGUAGUCCACACGGUAAACGAUGAAUACUCGCUGUUUGCGAUAUACGGCAAGCGGCCAAGCGAAAGCGUUAAGUAUUCCACCUGGGGAGUACGCCGGCAACGGUGAAACUCAAAGGAAUUGACGGGGGCCCGCACAAGCAGUGGAGUAUGUGGUUUAAUUCGAAGCAACGCGAAGAACCUUACCAGGUCUUGACAUACCUCUAAAGGCUCUAGAGAUAGAGAGAUAGCUAUAGGGGAUACAGGUGGUGCAUGGUUGUCGUCAGCUCGUGUCGUGAGAUGUUGGGUUAAGUCCCGCAACGAGCGCAACCCUUAUGGUCAGUUACUACGCAAGAGGACUCUGGCCAGACUGCCGUUGACAAAACGGAGGAAGGUGGGGAUGACGUCAAAUCAUCAUGCCCUUUAUGACUUGGGCUACACACGUACUACAAUGGCGUUAAACAAAGAGAAGCAAGACCGCGAGGUGGAGCAAAACUCAGAAACAACGUCCCAGUUCGGACUGCAGGCUGCAACUCGCCUGCACGAAGUCGGAAUUGCUAGUAAUCGUGGAUCAGCAUGCCACGGUGAAUACGUUCCCGGGCCUUGUACACACCGCCCGUCACACCAUGAGAGCCGGGGGGACCCGAAGUCGGUAGUCUAACCGCAAGGAGGACGCCGCCGAAGGUAAAACUGGUGAUUGGGGUG